rnacentral:lncRNA from 1 species
UUGUAGGUGAGACGGGAGAACGGGUGGAAACUGAGCUGCUCAGUGAGACAGUAAGUGAAGGGCCUGAAACAAAAGAAGAAGAAACAGGAGAAGCUGUGGAUAGUGCAGCAGCGACAGAGAUAGGCAUACAGCUGCUUUCUGCAUUUUUACACAAGAGGGUCAAAGAUACUUUACAGUAAAAGACAUUUUUGGAAGCAAUCAAUUGGAAGUCAUGCUUUUUACAUGGGUCAUCUUUAUAGAAUACGCAAGCCUUAUGAGUGAUAACUUUUCCCUCUUUGGGAAAAAUGAUAGACUGUAACAUGCAGUCUUGGAAAAUAAAAAAACCUUUGUUAAAGUCAUGACUCUGCUCAUUAUUAUUUGUAGGCUUGUCUUUGUAAGCUAAGCCUUAAUACUGCUUUGUGAUUUCCAUUCUAUGCCAGUCAUUUUAGAUCCCCUUGUUCUCCUUAUCAGCUGAA